rnacentral:rRNA from 1 species
GAUGAACGCUAGCGAUAGGCUUAACACAUGCAAGUCGAGGGGCAUCGAGGGUAGCAAUACCUGUCGGCGACCGGCGCACGGGUGAGUAACGCGUAUGUAACCUGCCCGCAACAGAGGGAUAACCCGGCGAAAGUCGGACUAAUACCUCAUAAAACAGGGGUUCCGCAUGGGACUAUUUGUUAAAGAUUUAUUGGUUGCGGAUGGGCAUGCGUACCAUUAGGUAGUUGGUGAGGUAACGGCUCACCAAGCCAUCGAUGGUUAGGGGUUCUGAGAGGAAGGUCCCCCACACUGGUACUGAGACACGGACCAGACUCCUACGGGAGGCAGCAGUGAGGAAUAUUGGUCAAUGGGCGAGAGCCCUGAACCAGCCAAGUCGCGUGAAAGGAUGACUGCCCUAUGGGUUGUAAAACUUCUUUUA